rnacentral:rRNA from 1 species
UAGGGAAUCUUCGGCAAUGGACGCAAGUCUGACCGAGCAACGCCGCGUGAGUGAAGAAGGUUUUCGGAUCGUAAAACUCUGUUGUUAGAGAAGAACAAGGACGUUAGUAACUGAACGUCCCCUGACGGUAUCUAACCAGAAAGCCACGGCUAACUACGUGCCAGCAGCCGCGGUAAUACGUAGGUGGCAAGCGUUGUCCGGAUUUAUUGGGCGUAAAGCGAGCGCAGGCGGUUUCUUAAGUCUGAUGUGAAAGCCCCCGGCUCAACCGGGGAGGGUCAUUGGAAACUGGGAGACUUGAGUGCAGAAGAGGAGAGUGGAAUUCCAUGUGUAGCGGUGAAAUGCGUAGAUAUAUGGAGGAACACCAGUGGCGAAGGCGGCUCUCUGGUCUGUAACUGACGCUGAGGCUCGAAAGCGUGGGGAGCAAACAGG